rnacentral:lncRNA from 1 species
CGAAACACCGACGGGCAACGCCGCCUCUUCGACGUCCUUCGCGUCGGCCAGAACACCGCCGCCGUCGCCCUCGCCAUCAAUCUGCUGCCUCGGUUCCAUCGUCGGAGAAGCCCCGCCGCUAACGCCACGUGCCGCCGGAGCAGAACACCGUCGCCGGAACUCUCCACGUCGCUUCAUCCCCAACUAACCACAGGGUAAGCUUCGAAGUAGUCCCUAGACCAUCUCCUUACUCGUAAUAGAGACGCCGCCCUCCAUAGCGCCAUGGCCGCAGCCAUCACAAACUGCCAUCCCUCUCCCUGUCCUUCGUUAGUUCUGGAGGAAGAAGAAGGACUUUGGCACAUAAAUAGCAAGAAACUUAGGGUCCAAACUGCAGAAGUAUCAC